AGGGCUAUGGCUCAGCAGUAGAGCGCCUCGUUUACACAUGACCAAGAGUGUCUACGAUUUGAAUACGUAUAGUCCUA
rnacentral:tRNA from 1 species